AGGUUCGAGGUGGAAGCGCAGCAAUGCGUGCAGCUGACGAAUACUAAUCGGUCGAGGGCUUAUCCAAA
rnacentral:rRNA from 1 species